UAGAGUUACACUUAAUCAUACUUGGAAGUACAGUCCGGGGGAAACAAAAUAAUAAUAAAUAACAAAAUCGCUACUGCUUACUGAGCACUUAACUCUCUGACAGCUACUGCGCUAAUUUCAUAAACAAAAUUCACAUUUUCACCUUCUUACAGUUAGAGAAAAAGACAAAGCUUAGUUUCCUUCAGGUCAUAUGACUAGACAAAAGCAAUGCCAGAACUUCCAUGCAACUCUCUCAGGCUUCAAAUAUGUAGGUCAGAGCAAUGCCCACUGAGCCCCAAAUAUUGAGCAUCUAAAUUUUUACACAUUGUGUUUCUUCCAGUCCAUUCAACCCAGCUGUAACUGCUUUGGCCUGUAAAAGAAUUUUUGAGAAUGUUUUUAAAACAUUUGAAUAAAACAUUCUCAUUUAGUCAAUAUCUACAUGGACAUAGACUCUCUCCUGCCAUGUCAACAAAGGAUAUUGUGGCCAUCAAGUCGUUGGCCACUGCGGCUCGCCCUGUGGUGCCCUGAGGGGAAUUCAGGAUGAAGAAAGCGGGUUACCCACCACCACCACGCCAUCGCCUUCGCAGCUAAUCCCAGUGGUGCAUCCAGAAGGGAAUUCAGGAUGGAGGAAAAACAGGAUACUGGCCCAAGAGAAGUUGACAGUCAUGGUGACCAACUAAGGGACCCCGAGAAGACGUCUCUACUUUGCCUGAACGCUGUCAUGGCUGUGGUACCAGCAGAAGCCUCUCGCGUCCAUCGGCUUCUUCAGAGUCCACGUGACUUGGGAAUAGUCUUUCCUGAAUCUUAGACCCCUUACUGGCUGUUGGUGCUAAGGAUCCACAUUCGGUGCUGGCCAGCUCUUCCCUGGAGGGUUGACAGCUAUCUGUUUCACUCUUCCUGGGAACAAGGCACUGUGCUAGCUGGGGAAUCUAAAGAUGACAGCACUUGUUCUUUGGGAAGGCCAGGCCACAGUGGGAGAGACAGAACGGAACUGGGUGGCGAUCUGUGUUGUACCAGAGCUCUGCAGCGAGUGCACGGAGGGUCACAGCUUCACCGAGGCUGGUCGGGAAGAACACCUCUGGAACGGCAACCGGCGAGCAGGACUGGAAGGCUUUUCAAGAAGCAGUCUGGCCGGCCGUGCAAGGGUGACAGUGAGAGACAGUUGAGCGGCGCUGCAGUCA